rnacentral:rRNA from 1 species
AAUCAACGCUGGCGGCGCGCCUAACACAUGCAAGUCGAACGAGAACGGCUUCAGCAAUGGGGCCUAGUACGGUGGCGAACGGGUGAGGAACACGUGGGUGAUCUAACCCCAAGUGAGGGAUAACCUGGGGAAACCUGGGCUAAUAACGCAUAAUAUCAGCAAGGAUGCAAGGAGUAAGUCGGUGGAGGAUGAGCCCGCGGCCGAUUAGCUAGAUGGCGGGGUAACGGCCCGCAAAGGCUCUGAUCGGUAGCCGGUCGGAGAGGACGCACGGCCACACUGGAACUGAAACACGGUCCAGACUCCUACGGGAGGCAGCAGUGGGGAAUCUUGCACAAUGGGGGAAACCCUGAUGCAGCGGCGACGCGUGGGUGAUGAAGCUCUUCGGAGUGUAAAGCCCUUUCGGCAGGGAAGAGUAAAGACGGUACCUGCAAAAGAAGCCCCGGCUAACUACGUGCCAGCCGCCGCGGUAACAC